UACGUAGGGUGCAAGCGUUAAUCGGAAUUACUGGGCGUAAAGCGUGCGCAGGCGGUGAUGUAAGACAGAUGUGAAAUCCCCGGGCUCAACCUGGGAACUGCAUUUGUGACUGCAUCGCUGGAGUACGGCAGAGGGGGAUGGAAUUCCGCGUGUAGCAGUGAAAUGCGUAGAUAUGCGGAGGAACACCGAUGGCGAAGGCAAUCCCCUGGGCCUGUACUGCGCUCAUGCACGAAAGCGUGGGGAGCAAACAGG
rnacentral:rRNA from 1 species